rnacentral:lncRNA from 1 species
AAAACACAAACAAACUCAUUGAUUUUUCUUCUCCUAAGAACACGUUUACUCCUUCUACUACAGGCGAGCAAGUCUCCAAAGGUCGAGCAUCCGGUAGAUUGCGUAGUAACGUCGUUCAUCCAAAAACACAACCCUUAACCCGUAGGUAGCCGAACUAUGGCUUGCUCUGAUUCUCAUUCCAGAUGAGAUACGUAGGCAUAAGACACGAUGUCUUAG